UACAGAGGUCCCAAGCGUUGUUCGGAUUCACUGGGCGUAAAGGGUGCGUAGGUGGUGAGGUAAGUCGGAUGUGAAAUCUCCGAGCUCAACUCGGAAAUGGCAUUGGAAACUACCUUGCUAGAGGAUUGGAGGGGAGACUGGAAUGCUUGGUGUAGCAGUGAAAUGCGUAGAUAUAUGGAGGAACACCAAUGGCGAAGGCAGCUUACUGGACAGUUAUUGACGCUGAGAUGCGAAAGCGUGGGGAGCAAACAGG
rnacentral:rRNA from 1 species